GUCCUUCAGAAAGCUGUUGACACUGCACUCAUGUGCUGAGCUGAGGAAAGGGUCUCCCAUGAUGAUAAGUCAUGGUACAGGGAGAGGAAUCAUCACUGAGCAUGGAGAGUCUAUGUGCAGGACACUAUCAAGGUAACAACGAGCGAGGCAAGCAUCAUCUCAUCAUCAAGGGCCACACUUAAAUGUGCAAGAAGAAAGUCCAACUUUCAUACAGUGACUCACUUCUUUCGGAAGAAUAAGGCAGAAAACCUAGGAGGCCAAGAGUAUGGUACCUUGAACCUAUCUUCAUUCGGACUCUUCACAGCAGUUUUCAAGCUGUUGUCUUCCUUUUCUUGGUGGCACAGGUUGACAGGGACUCGCAGCAUUCUUGGUACCAUGGGCUAUGCUAGGAACCUAUGA
rnacentral:lncRNA from 1 species